rnacentral:rRNA from 1 species
CCACAUUGGGACUGAGACACGGCCCAAACUCCUACGGGAGGCAGCAGUGGGGAAUCUUCCGCAAUGGACGAAAGUCUGACGGAGCAACGCCGCGUGAGUGAUGAAGGAUUUCGGUCUGUAAAGCUCUGUUGUUUAUGACGAACGUGCAGUGUGUGAACAAUGCAUUGCAAUGACGGUAGUAAACGAGGAAGCCACGGCUAACUACGUGCCAGCAGCCGCGGUAAUACGUAGGUGGCGAGCGUUGUCCGGAAUUAUUGGGCGUAAAGAGCAUGUAGGCGGCUUAAUAAGUCGAGCGUGAAAAUGCGGGGCUCAACCCCGUAUGGCGCUGGAAACUGUUAGGCUUGAGUGCAGGAGAGGAAAGGGGAAUUCCCAGUGUAGCGGUGAAAUGCGUAGAUAUUGGGAGGAACACCAGUGGCGAAGGCGCCUUUCUGGACUGUGUCUGACGCUGAGAUGCGAAAGCCAGGGUAGCGAACGGGAUUAGAUACCCCGGUAGUCCUGGCCGUAAACGAUGGGUACUAGGUGUAGGAGGUAUCGACCCCUUCUGUGCCGGAGUUAACGCAAUAAGUACCCCGCCUGGGGAGUACGGCCGCAAGGUUGAAACUCAAAGGAAUUGACGGGGGCCCGCACAAGCAGUGGAGUAUGUGGUUUAAUUCGACGCAACGCGAAGAACCUUACCAAGUCUUGACAUCCUGCGACGAUGCUGGAAACAGUAUUUUCCUUCGGGACGCAGAGACAGGUGGUGCAUGGUUGUCGUCAGCUCGUGUCGUGAGAUGUUGGGUUAAGUCCCGCAACGAGCGCAACCCCUAUCCUCAGUAGCCAGCAGGUAAAGCUGGGCACUCUGUGGAGACUGCCAGGGAUAACCUGGAGGAAGGUGGGGAUGACGUCAAAUCAUCAUGCCCCUUAUGACUUGGGCUACACACGUGCUACAAUGGCGUAAACAAAGUGAAGCGAGAGUGUGAGCUUAAGCAAAUCACAAAAAUAACGUCUCAGUUCGGAUUGUAGUCUGCAACUCGACUACAUGAAGCUGGAAUCGCUAGUAAUCGCGAAUCAGAAUGUCGCGGUGAAUACGUUCCCGGGUCUUGUACACACCGCCCGUCACACCAUGGGAGUCGGAAAUGCCCGAAGUCGGUGACCUAACGUAAGAAGGAGCCGCCGAAGGCAGGUCUGAUAACUGGGGUGAAGUCGUAACAAGGUAGCCGUAUCGGAAGGGGCGGCUG